rnacentral:lncRNA from 1 species
UUGGUUCUGAGUCACUUCCAUUUUCAGUGCCAGAUCAUCCCCACGAGUGCUCUUGAUCAUCUGAUGCAUUGAGACUGAUAAAUAGUAAAUGUUUACACGGUUGUUGCGUUAAUGGAAGGCAAGAUCCACUAAGUUAGCUUGCUAAACGUGUAUAAUGGAAGUGAACGUGUAUGGUGUACAUGAUCCCUUACCAAAAGACAAGCUAUCACCGUUCUUCAUUGCAUUUGCAGGUGUGUGAUAAUUCCGAUCUCUGACAUUGUUUAUUUGGCUUUGUCAGCCUUCCCAUGUGAAUGGGAUGCCCUUUGUUUGUUCAUCAGUUCAAAAAAGAUAGUUUGAGUUCAAUUAUCGCAGUUUAUUAACAUCUCUAGUUAUUCACCUGUUCGUAUCUGCAUGCAAAAAAGUAAAUAACUUGGGACAGAAAGUGCAGUAACGUAAAAGAGAGACAUAGUUUAUCAGGAACUUGGAGUCAUGUAUAUUUGAUCGAUUCACUAUUCACUAAAACGUUGUUUCUUUACAGUUGGGAUCAUUUACAAGUAUGAUUUUUCAUGAUAUAAUUACAAGAUGUUGAGAAUGGAGGCUCUUGUUUUGAUCAAGCACCUAAAGAGGGACUCAACUCCUUCUUCAAGAUCUUGAAUGCAUGGCUGCAAGUUCUUCAGAAGAGCUUGGAUUUCCUCACUGGAUUUGCUUGUCUUCAAACAGGCAUCCACUUCUGCAAAUUCGUUUUCUGAUGCUGCAAUAACUCUUUUUGCCAUCAGCUUGGAGACCAAAGACCAGCUGCUUGACUUGGAGUUUGAUUGAGAAAUGAAUGACAACAGGUUCUCCAACACCUCAACAACAAUGGAUUCAGCUUCUCUUAACAUGUCGAUUGCAUCGAUGUUGCUGGAAGAAGUAGAUUUCUUGGUUUCAUAACCCUUCAAGGCCUUUUGGAUUGCUUUCUUCACAGUCUUCCUUGAGUUGAG